rnacentral:rRNA from 1 species
UACGUAGGGGGCGAGCGUUGUCCGGAUUUAUUGGGCGUAAAAGGCUUGUAGGUGGCCACGCCAAGUCGGAUGUGAAAUCUCCCGGCUCAACUGGGAGGGGUCAUUCGAUACUGGCGGGCUCGAGGCCGGUAGGGGGAAGCGGAAUUCCCGGUGUAGUGGUGGAAUGCGUAGAUAUCGGGAGGAACACCAGUGGCGAAGGCGGCUUCCUGGACCGGUUCUGACACUGAGGAGCGAAAGCGUGGGGA